rnacentral:rRNA from 1 species
AUCGAACGCUGGCGGCAUGCUUUACACAUGCAAGUCGAACGGUAACAGGUUAAGCUGACGAGUGGCGAACGGGUGAGUAAUGCAUCGGAACGUGCCCGGUCGUGGGGGAUAACGCAGCGAAAGCUGCGCUAAUACCGCAUACGAUCUAAGGAUGAAAGCGGGGGACCGUAAGGCCUCGCGCGAUCGGAGCGGCCGAUGUCAGAUUAGGUAGUUGGGGGGGGAAAGGCUCACCAAGCCAACGAUCUGUAGCUGGUCUGAGAGGACGACCAGCCACACUGGGACUGAGGCACGGCCCCGACUCCUACGGGAGGCAGCAGUGGGGAAUUGUGGACAAUGGGCGAAAGCCUGAUUCAGCAAUGCCGCGUGCAGGAAGAAGGCCUUCGGGUUGUAAACUGCUUUUGUACGGAGCGAAAAGGUCUCCUCUAAUACAGGGGGCUCAUGACGGUACCGUAAGAAUAAGCACCGGCUAACUACGUGCCAGCCGCCGCAGUAA